GUCACUUGGUGUCUCUGUCAGUCUGUCUCCCUCUUGCAUGCUCUGUUGAAGGCAUCUUUGAGCUUCCAGGACAAACUCUAGCGAUGGCUCAAGGCAAGAGAAAUAUGGAAUGACUAACAAACCCCGAGGAGAGCCUGAGGAUGCGCAUCGAUCGAACAAAGGUGAAAGAGGUGUCUUCCGAAGUAUCAAAGUAUAUCCACUGGAACCAAAUGACAAGAGACUUAAUUAUGAAUCACCUACAGAUUUACUUAGCAAGCUGUCCCUGGUUUCUGAAGUAAAAAAACCUGCAAAAAUGCCAUCUAAGGUGCAGCCAAUUUCCUAGGUUCAGCUAUCUCAGCACUCAUAUAACAACUUAAGAUUCUUUUGAGUGGGUAAAGGCAUGAAGUUUUAUU